rnacentral:rRNA from 1 species
GGAGAAAAGCAGGGGAUCGCAAGGCCUUGCGCUUUUGGAGCGGCCGAUGCCUGAUUAGCUUGUUGGUGAGGUAAAAGCUCACCAAGGCUUCGAUCAGUAGCUGGUCUGAGAGGACGACCAGCCACACUGGGACUGAGACACGGCCCAGACUCCUACGGGAGGCAGCAGUGGGGAAUUUUGGACAAUGGGGGCAACCCUGAUCCAGCCAUGCCGCGUGAGUGAAGAAGGCCUUCGGGUUGUAAAGCUCUUUCAGCCGGAACGAAACGGUUACGGUUAAUACCCGUGACUACUGACGGUACCGGAAGAAGAAGCACCGGCUAACUACGUGCCAGCAGCCGCGGUAAUACGUAGGGUGCAAGCGUUAAUCGGAAUUACUGGGCGUAAAGCGUGCGCAGGUGGUUUUGUAAGUCAGAUGUGAAAUCCCCGGGCUUAACCUGGGAACUGCGUUUGAAACUACAAAGCUAG